rnacentral:rRNA from 1 species
UACGUAGGGUGCAAGCGUUAAUCGGAAUUACUGGGCGUAAAGCGUGCGCAGGCGGUUGUGCAAGACAGAGGUGAAAUCCCCGGGCUUAACCUGGGAAUGGCCUUUGUGACUGCACGGCUAGAGUGUGUCAGAGGGGGGUAGAAUUCCACGUGUAGCAGUGAAAUGCGUAGAGAUGUGGAGGAACACCGAUGGCGAAGGCAGCCCCCUGGGCUAACACUGACGCUCAUGCACGAAAGCGUGGGGAGCAAACAGG